UACGUAGGUGGCAAGCGUUGUCCGGAUUUACUGGGCGUAAAGAGCGCGCAGGCGGUCGUUCAAGUCGCGUGUGAAAGCCCCCGGCUCAACUGGGGAGGGUCACGCGAUACUGAUCGACUCGAAGGCAGGAGAGGGUAGUGGAAUUCCUGGUGUAGCGGUGAAAUGCGCAGAUAUCAGGAGGAACACCGAUGGCGAAGGCAGGUCUCUGGGCAUUAACUGACGCUGAGGAGCGAAAGCAUGGGGAGCGAACAGG
rnacentral:rRNA from 1 species